UUUUAUGAUGAUAAACCUAUAACAACAACAACAUGAAUUUCUUCAUCCGAAACUAUAGGUGGAUACAAUUUUGACAUAGCUUUUUAACCCUGAUC
rnacentral:snoRNA from 1 species